AUUGAACGCUGGCGGCAGGCUUAACACAUGCAAGUCGAGCGGAGCGAGGGUGCUUGCACCUUAGCUUAGCGGCGGACGGGUGAGUAAUGCUUAGGAAUCUGCCUAUUAGUGGGGGACAACAUUCCGAAAGGGAUGCUAAUACCGCAUACGCCCUACGGGGGAAAGCAGGGGAUCUUCGGACCUUGCGCUAAUAGAUGAGCCUAAGUCGGAUUAGCUAGUUGGUGGGGUAAAGGCCUACCAAGGCGACGAUCUGUAGCGGGUCUGAGAGGAUGAUCCGCCACACUGGGACUGAGACACGGCCCAGACUCCUACGGGAGGCAGCAGUGGGGAAUAUUGGACAAUGGGGGGAACCCUGAUCCAGCCAUGCCGCGUGUGUGAAGAAGGCCUUUUGGUUGUAAAGCACUUUAAGCGAGGAGGAGGCGCUCUAGGAUAAUACCCUAGAUGCGUGGACGUACUCGCAGAAUAAGC
rnacentral:rRNA from 1 species